AUGAACGCUGGCGGCGUGCCUCAUACAUGCAAGUCGCGCGAACGGACGAGAAGCUUGCUUCUCUGAUGUUAGCGGCGGACGGGUGAGUAACACGUGGAUAACCUACCUAUAAGACUGGGAUAACUUCGGGAAACCGGAGCUAAUACCGGAUAAUAUUUUGAACCGCAUGGUUCCAAAGUGAAAGACGGUCUUGCUGUCACUUAUAGAUGGAUCCGCGCUGCAUUAGCUAGUUGGUAAGGUAACGGCUUACCAAGGCAACGAUGCAUAGCCGACCUGAGAGGGUGAUCGGACACACGGGAACGGAGACACGGUCAAGACUCCUACGGGAGGCAGCAGUAGGGAAUCUUCCGCAAUGGGCGAAAGCCUGACGGAGCAACGCCGCGUGAGUGAUGAAGGUCUUCGGAUCGUAAAACUCUGUUAUUAGGGAAGAACAUAUGUGUAAGUAACUGUGCACAUCUUGACGGUACCUAAUCAGAAAGCCACGGCUAACUACGUG
rnacentral:rRNA from 1 species